rnacentral:rRNA from 1 species
UACGUAGGUGGCAAGCGUUGUCCGGAAUUACUGGGCGUAAAGCGUGCGCAGGCGGUGAUGUAAGACAGUUGUGAAAUCCCCGGGCUCAACCUGGGAACUGCAUCUGUGACUGCAUCGCUGGAGUGCGGCAGAGGGGGAUGGAAUUCCGCGUGUAGCAGUGAAAUGCGUAGAUAUGCGGAGGAACACCGAUGGCGAAGGCAAUCCCCUGGGCCUGCACUGACGCUCAUGCACGAAAGCGUGGGGAGCAAACAGG